rnacentral:rRNA from 1 species
AGUGAACGCUGGCGGUAGGCCUAACACAUGCAAGUCGAACGGCAGCACAGUAAGAGCUUGCUCUUACGGGUGGCGAGUGGCGGACGGGUGAGGAAUACAUCGGAAUCUACUUUUUCGUGGGGGAUAACGUAGGGAAACUUACGCUAAUACCGCAUACGACCUACGGGUGAAAGCAGGGGAUCUUCGGACCUUGCGCGAUUGAAUGAGCCGAUGUCGGAUUAGCUAGUUGGCGGGGUAACGGCCCGCCAAGGCGACGAUCCGUAGCUGGUCUGAGAGGAUGAUCAGCCACACUGGAACUGAGACACGGUCCAGACUCCUACGGGGGGCAGCAGUGGGGAAUAUUGGACAAUGGGCGCAAGCCUGAUCCAGCCAUACCGCGUGGGUGAAGAAGGCCUUCGGGUUGUAAAGCCCUUUUGUUGGGAAAGAAAAGCAGCAGGUUAAUACCCCGCUGUUCUGACGGUACCCAAAGAAUAAGCACCGGCUAACUUCGUG